CUGCAGCCAAUUAAGCCAACUGUGCCCUUUCUCCAUGGGCACCCAGCUUGCCAUCACUACAAAUAGUAGCCUGCUUGCUAGUGUAUGCAGCCUGUUGAUUGUAUGGGUUGCCUAAGGGACCUUGGAGACAGUC
rnacentral:snoRNA from 3 species